GACGAACGCUGGCGGCGUGCCUAAUACAUGCAAGUCGAGCGGGGAUUAUGCUUGAUCGCUUCGGUGAGACGGCAUAUAUCCUAGCGGCGGACGGGUGAGUAACGCGUGGGUAAUCUACCUCGUAGUUCGGGAUAACAGGCCGAAAGGCUUGCUAAUACCGGAUGAGUUCAUGCUUAUGCAUAUAGGCAUGAAGAAAGGGCUAGCCCGCUAUGAGAUGAGCCCGCGUCCCAUUAGCUUGUUGGUGGGGUAACGGCCUACCAAGGCAACGACGGGUAGCCGGUCUGAGAGGAUGUACGGCCACACUGGGACUGAGACACGGUCCAGACUCCUACGGGAGGCAGCAGUGGGGAAUUUUGGACAAUGGGCGAAAGCCUGAUCCAGCCAUGCCGCGUGCAGGAAGAAGGCCUCGGUUGUAACUAGCUUUAGUCUAGGAAAAGGGGUAGGACGGAGGUUAAGUAACCUCCGUGCUUUGAUGGUACUGGAAGAAUAAGACACCGGCUAACUACG
rnacentral:rRNA from 1 species